rnacentral:rRNA from 1 species
UACGAAGGGGGGCUAGCGUUGCUCGGAAUGACUGGGCGUAAAGGGCGCGUAGGCGGUUUGUACAGUCAGAUGUGAAAUUCCUGGGCUCAACCUGGGGGGCUGCAUUUGAUACGUGCGGACUUGAGUGAGGAAGAGGGUCGUGGAAUUCCCAGUGUAGAGGUGAAAUUCGUAGAUAUUGGGAAGAACACCGGUGGCGAAGGCGGCGACCUGGUCCUUGACUGACGCUGAGGCGCGAAAGCGUGGGGAGCAAACAGG